rnacentral:rRNA from 1 species
UACGUAGGGUGCAAGCGUUAAUCGGAAUUACUGGGCGUAAAGCGUGCGCAGGCGGUGAUGUAAGACAGAUGUGAAAUCCCCCGGGCUUAACCUGGGACUGCGUUUGAAACUACAAGGCUAGAGUGUGGCAGAGGGGGGGUGGAAUUCCACGUGUAGCAGUGAAAUGCGUAGAGAUGUGGAGGAACACCGAUGGCGAAGGCAGCCCCCUGGGUUAACACUGACGCUCAGGCACGAAAGCGUGGGGAGCAAACAGG